CGGGGCGUGGCGCAGUUUGGCUUAGCGCGCUUGAAUGGGGUUCAAGAGGUCCCGAGUUCGAAUCUCGGCGCCCCGACCA
rnacentral:tRNA from 1 species